rnacentral:rRNA from 1 species
CAGUCGCCACGGGAAUACGGAGGGUGCAAGCGUUAAUCGGAAUUACUGGGCGUAAAGCGUGCGUAGGCGGUUCGUUAAGUCUGUUGUGAAAGCCCCGGGCUCAACCUGGGAAUGGCAAUGGAUACUGGCGAGCUAGAGUGUGUCAGAGGAUGGUGGAAUUCCCGGUGUAGCGGUGAGAUGCGUAGAGAUCGGGAGGAACAUCAGUGGCGAAGGCGGCCAUCUGGGACAACACUGACGCUGAGGCACGAAAGCGUGGGGAGCAAACAGGAUUAGAUACCCGCGUAGUCCCUGUCUCUUAUAC